GUGUCAGCAGCCGCGGUAAAACGUAGGACGCGAGCGUUAUCCGGAGUUACUGGGCGUAAAGCGCGGGCAGGCGGUCUGACAAGUCUGAUGUGAAAUCUCCGGGCUUAACCGGGAGAGGCCAUUGGAAACUGACAGGCUGGAGGGCAGUAGAGGUAGGCGGAAUUCCGGGUGGAGUGGUGAAAUGCGUAGAGAUCCGGAGGAACACCAGAGGCGAAGGCGGCCUACUGGGCUGCACCUGACGCUGAGCCGCGAAAGCCAGGGGAGCGAACGGGAUUAGAUACCCGCGUAGUCC
rnacentral:rRNA from 1 species